rnacentral:rRNA from 1 species
GAUGAACGCUGGCGGCGUGCCUAAUACAUGCAAGUCGCGCGAACAGACGAGGCGCUUGCUCCUUUGACGCUACCGGCGGACGGGUGAGUAACACGUGCAUCACCUACCUCUAAGACUGGGCCAACACCUGGAACCCCCAGCUAAUCCCGCAAAAUAUAUCCAACCGCACGCCUCAAUUGUGAAACACGCUUUUGCUCUUACCUAUAGUUGGACCCCCCUCGCAUUAGUUAGCUGGCAAGGCAACGGCUUACCAACGCCACGAUGCGUAGCCGAGCCGAGCGGAUGAUCAGGCUGAAGGGAACUGAGACACGGUCCAGACUCGUACGGGAGGCAGCAGUAGGGAAUCUUCCUCCAUGGGCGAAAGCCGGACGCAGCAACGCCGCGGGAGGGAUGAAGGUCUUCGAAUCGUAAAGCUCUGUGAUGAGGGAAGAACAAAUGUGUGAAUAACUAUACACGUCUUGACGGUACCGGAUCAAAAAGCCACGGCUAACUCAGUG